AUGAACGCUGGCGGCGUGUUUAAGGCAUGCAAGUUGAACGAGCCCUAUAGCAAUAUAUGGCAAGUGGCAAACGGGAGCGUAACACAUUGGUAACGUACCCUUGCGUCGUGAAUAAUCCGGCGAAAGCCGGACUAAUACACGAUACGGAUGGGGGGUCUUCGGACAUUCCCAUUGAAAGAUUUAUCGCGCGAGGAGCGGCCUAUGUUCGAUCAGCUAGUUGGUAGGGUAACGGCCUACCAAGGCUACGACCGAUACCGGGUGUGAGAGCACGACCCGGCUCACUGGGACUGAGACACUGCCCAGACACCUACGGGUGGCUGCAGUCGAGAAUAUUCCACAAUGGACGAAAGUCUGAUGGAGCGACGCCGCGUGCCAGAUGAAGCCCUUCGGGGUGUAAAUGGCUUUUGGCAGGGACGAAUUCGUGACGGUACCUGCAGAAUAAGGGGUUGCUAACUCUGU
rnacentral:rRNA from 1 species